CCUACGGGGCGCUGCAGUGGGGGAUAUUGCACAAUGGGGGAAACCCUGAUGCAGCGACGCCGCGUGGGUGAAGAAGCGCCUCGGCGCGUAAAGCCCUGUCAGCAGGGAAGAAAAUGACGGUACCUGAAGAAGAAGCCCCGGCUAACUACGUGCCAGCAGCCGCGGUAAUACGUAGGGGGCAAGCGUUAUCCGGAUUUACUGGGUGUAAAGGGGGCGCAGACGGCGAUGCAAGCCAGGAGUGAAAGCCCGGGGCCCAACCCCGGGACUGCUCUUGGAACUGCGUGGCUAGAGUGCAGGAGGGGCAGGCGGAAUUCCUGAUGUAGCGGUGAAAUGCGUAGAUAUCAGGAGGAACACCGGUGGCGAAGGCGGCCUGCUGGACUGCAACUGACGUUGAGGCCCAAAAGCGUGGGGAGCAAACAGGAUUAGAUACCCUAGUAGUC
rnacentral:rRNA from 1 species